CUCCUGGAAACGGGUGGUAAUGCCGGAUGCUCCGACUCCUCGCAUGGGGUGUCGGGAAAGAUUUCAUCGGUAUGGGAUGGGGUCGCGUCCUAUCAGGUAGUCGGCGGGGUAACGGCCCACCGAGCCUACGACGGGUAGCCGGCCUGAGAGGGCGACCGGCCACAUUGGGACUGAGAUACGGCCCAGACUCCUACGGGAGGCAGCAGUGGGGAAUAUUGCACAAUGGGCGCAAGCCUGAUGCAGCGACGCCGCGUGCGGGAUGACGGCCUUCGGGUUGUAAACCGCUUUUGAUCGGGAGCAAGCCUUCGGGUGAGUGUACCUUUCGAAUAAGCACCGGCUAACUACGUGCCAGCAGCCGCGGUAAUACGUAGGGUGCAAGCGUUAUCCGGAAUUAUUGGGCGUAAAGGGCUCGUAGGCGGUUCGUCGCGUCCGGUGUGAAAGUCCAUCGCUUAACGGUGGAUCUGCGCCGGGUACGGGCGGGCUGGAGUGCGGUAGGGGAGACUGGAAUUCCCGGUGUAACGGUGGAAUGUGUAGAUAU
rnacentral:rRNA from 1 species